UUAGAUGCGAGAGUAGAGCAUAUCAAUAAGCGGAGGAAAAGAAGCUAACAAGGAUUCCCCUAGUAACGGCGAGUGAAGCGGGAAGAGCUCAAAUUUGAAAUCUUCAAGGUUUGACCUUGACGAAUUGUAGUUUAAAGAAGUGUUUUCGGUUAGAGGAGUAGUAAAAGUUCUUUGGAAUAGGACAUCAUAGAGGGUGAGAAUCCCGUAUUUGACUAUUCUUUCUAGCUUUGUGAUACACUUUCAAAGAGUCGGAUUGUUUGGGAAUGCAGUCCAAAAUGGGUGGUAAAUUUCAUCUAAAGCUAAAUAUUGGCGAGAGACCGAUAGCGAACAAGUACCGUGAGGGAAAGAUGAAAAGAACUUUGAAAAGAGAGUUAAACAGUACGUGAAAUUGUCAAAAGGGAAGCGUUUGACACCAGUGUUGUUUUUCCGAAAAUCAAUUAAAAAUUGAUUCAUGCUAGGUUGUAUUGACCUUAUCAGCUUGCAAUUUGGUUUUGGGUCUCUUUUUGAUGCACUUUUCGGUUAACAAGUCAACAUCAAUUUCCUUUGCUGUAAAAAGGUAAGAGGAAGGUGGCUUCAAUUUCGGUUGAAGUGUUUAUAGCCUUUUAUCUCUGCAGUCGGGGAGAUUGAGGUCUGCAGCGUAGAUCCUUCGGGGCUAGAUACAUUUAUGCUAAGUUAUAGCUUUUCAUAGACAACUUGUUGACUAUGUUUAGUCAUGUAGCUUACUCGCUUACUGCUAUUUUACCUACGCUUAGGAUGUUGACACACGCGCGUGCUCG
rnacentral:rRNA from 1 species